rnacentral:lncRNA from 1 species
GCUUACCCGGUCAGCCCCUGGGCCGAGUACCCCUGGGAGAGAAAGCGCUAAAUUCCCCCAACACUCCCGUGAUGGGGGCACAGGGAGCGCCGUGGGACACCUGAGGAAACUGAGGCCCAAGUGUUAAUUAACUUGCCCUGAUCACCUAGCACGUGGAGCCACGACUUGCUCAAGCCCUGCCUGAUUCCAGCCCCGGCCUUUGUUCAUUCAGUAAAUGUGGAAGGCGCAAGGGUAACUCGAGGCCUGCGGAGGGAACGAGAUGAGGGAGGCCGCAAGAGUCACCGCAGAGAAGAGGGAUUGGCUGUCUUGGACCCUCCGAGGGCCUCGGGGAAGGACUGCAGGAGAGCGGAUUCUUGAUGGGGCUUCACAGGAUGCGCAGGAGCUCUCCAGGCUACAGAGCGCAUUUCAGGAACUGGACUGGGAUGUACAGAGGCACCAUGGUGGGAAACAGCUGGGCCUUCCUGCAAAGAGGGGAGAGGCUCUUGGAGGUGCAGGGCUUGCGUUUUCUCAACCCAGACUGCCUCUGAGAACAGGGCAGGGGGUGUGAAGAGCUGAUGCCCUGGCCCUCCCCACUGGCUAGCUUUCCGGGGACUAAGGACUAAGGCUGGGCCAGGAUUCUGGGGUUCUAGGGGCUCUGCCUCCACACGCCAGUGCCUGUCUGUUGAGUUCACUUCUCUCUAAAAUCUCAUUUUACACCACGACCCAGUACAAACCACUCAGAAAAAUGUUUCAUUAAAAGUUCGGCAUACUACAUGCAUGCACUCUAAUAUUUUCAUGUAGUCUAUUAUUUCUCUAAAAACUAAAAUGCUGAUCAUGACCCACAGAAUUGAUUUCACAACCCACAUUAGUUGUGAAUUACAACUUGCUAAGGAGUCAGAACCAACAUGUAGAAACCCUCUGUUCUUAGCAAGCACAUUCUGGUUACACUGUGGGGGACUAGCACCAAGUCCAGGAGACAGAGGCUGGCCCAGACUAAGUGUGGCAAUGAGAUGCAGAGACACUUAGGAUGAAUUGGUUCCCAAUCCAUUACCUCAAUGGAGUGGGAGCAUGAUGGUUCAAGUAGCAGGCUUUGGAGCAGAAAACCCACCUCAACCAUCCUCCAACCGUAAAGGGUGAUGAUGAUUCAUGAAACAGUCCAGGAGGAGGAGGGACUUCAGGUUUUGUUUGAUUCAUUUCAGUGGCCCAACAGUGGCAUCAAGGACCUUGGCUCUCCCAUCUCCUCUGCUUUCACCCAAGGCUGGCUUCCCCUUAUGGCCAUGAGAGAACAGAGGAGCCUUCCAAAGUGCUCUCUCCUUCAUGGGUUAUUAGACACCAAGCUCAUUCCCAGAGCAGUCACGGGAGUGUGGCCUUCACUUUUGGCCAGAGACAGAGCCAACUCCUAGAAAGCGGAGGGAGACAGUGUCCCAACCUAAUCAAUGGCUCCCAUGAACGCCAGGGAAAAAAAGGGAAUUCCACUCCUCCAUCCUAGGAAAGUUGGAGUCCUUCCUUAGGGUGGAGGAAGUGGGAAACAGAUGCUGAUAAGACCUCCACGGAGGUGAUGUCUGGAGCUGCAACCAGGGAAGACCUGGCUGCAGACAUAUUUGAGUCUUUAGCUCAAGAGUGAACCCCAGGCUGCAAUAAAGAUCUGACAGUUACCAAUGCUAGAAGGCUGAUGGACAAAGCAAUGACGAUAACCCAGAGAGAGACUGUAUGCAACUGAAACUUCAAUUGCUAAAUGUCUGUAGGGCUGUUGAGACAGUUGCUUUUCAGUGUAUCCAUUGCCUGAAAAUUACCAGAUGUCAGAAAAAUUGAAGGAGUCUUAAAUGGCAAUUUCAUGGACAUUAAGUGAUAUUAAAUUUUUUAAAGUUACAAUGCUGACCCCAAUAAAUUACUUAGAAACAGCAAAAAAAAAAA